rnacentral:rRNA from 1 species
CCUGGAUAGCGCUUUCGUCCUGGAGCGGAGAAAGCGCCAAACGCUCCGGCGCCGCAGGAUGCGACUGCGGCCGAUUAGGUAGACGGUGGGGUAACGGCCCACCGUGCCGAUAAUCGGUACGGGUAGUGAGAGCUAGAGCCCGGAGACGGACUCUGAGACAAGAGUCCGGGCCCUACGGGGCGCAGCAGGCGCGAAACCUUUACACUGCGCGACAGCGCGAUAGGGGGACCCCAAGUGCGAGGGCAUACAGUCCUCGCUUUUUCCGACCGUAAGGUGGUCGGCGAAUAAGGGCUGGGCAAGACCGGUGCCAGCCGCCGCGGUAAUACCGGCAGCCCGAGUGAUGGCCGCUAUUAUUGGGCCUAAAGCGUCCGUAGCCGGCUAGACAGGUCCGUCGGGAAAUCCACCCGCUCAACGGGUGGGCGUCCGGCGGAAACCAGCUAGCUUGGGACCGAGCGACCUGAGGGGUACGUCUGGGGUAGGAGUGAAAUCCCGUAAUCCCGGACGGACCAUCGGUGGCGAAAGCGCCUCAGGAGAGCGGAUCCGACGGUGAGGGACGAAAGCUAGGGUCUCGAACCGGAUUAGAUACCCGGGUAGUCCUAGCCGUAAACGAUGCUCGCUAGGUGUGGCGCUGGCUACGAGCCAGCGCUGUG